AGUGAACGCUGGCGGUAGGCCUAACACAUGCAAGUCGAACGGCAGCACAGUAAUAGCUUGCUCUUACGGGUGGCGAGUGGCGGACGAGUGAGGAAUACAUCGGAAUCUACUUUUUCGUGGGGGUUAACGUAGGGAAACUUACGCUAAUACCGCAUACGACCUACGGGUGAAAGCAGGGGAUCUUCGGACCUUGCGCGAUUGAAUGAGCCGAUGUCGGAUUAGCUAGUUGGCGGGUUAAAGGCCCACCAAGGCGACGAUCCGUAGCUGGUCUGAGAGGAUGAUCAGCCACACUGGAACGGAGACACGGACCAGACUCCUACGGGAGGCAGCAGUGGGGAAUAUUGGACAAUGGGCGCAAGCCUGAUCCAGCCAUACCGCGUGGGUGAAGAAGGCCUUCGGGUUGUAAAGCCCUUUUGUUGGGAAAGAAAAGCAGCAGGUUAAUACCCCGCUGUUCUGACGGUACCCAAAGAAUAAGCACCGGCUAACUUCGUG
rnacentral:rRNA from 1 species